rnacentral:misc_RNA from 1 species
CUGAAUAGAUGCCCUCUUUGCAAGCAAAGAGCGAGAGAAUACUUUACUAUCUGCAUAUUGAGCAUUGCACAACCAGAUGGUUUCUUUAUUUGCUAAUGCUCGGCAAACUUUCACCGGGAUUGAACACAAAGGACAUGCAAACCAAGUAAUACCACUCUGCAUCAGAGAGAUCCUCCGGAGACAAUGCAGCAGAAGGCCUAUUAGCCUGUUGGUCAAUUUCACCUUCAAGAAGAGACUUAUAAAGUUCUCUCAGUUGCUC